GGUGGCCCUCCGGGUGUCACCUUCUGGUGGUGGCCCUCCGGGUGUCACCUUCUGGUGGUGGCCCUCCAGGUUUCACCUUCUGGUGGUGGUCCCCCAGGUGUCACCUCCUAGUGGUGGUCCUCCAGGUGGCCCUCUGGGUGUCACCUCCUAGUGGUGAUCCUCCAGGUGUCACCUCCUAGUAGUGGUCCUCCAGGUGGUCCUCCAGCUGCCACCUCCCCAUGGUGGCCCUCUGGGUGUCACAUCCUAGUGGUAGUCCUCCAGGUGGUCCUCCAGGUGUCACCCCCUUGUGGUGGCUCUCUGGAUGUCACCUUCUAGUGGUGGCCCUCCGGGAUGUCCUGGUGGUCCUUGAGUUCCUUCCUGGUGGGCGGGAGUUGGGUCCUCCUGUUUUGUCCCCAUGGUUCUCUUGGUGGCAGGUGGUUCCCUCACGGUGUCCCCAAGUUCUUCAGGUCCUUCAUGGUGUCCCCGUGGUGUCCCCGUGUCCCUCAGGUCCCUCAUGGUGUCACUGUGGUGUCUCCAUGUUUUUCAGGACCUUCAUGGUGUUCCCAUGGUGUCCAUCAGGUCCCUCCUGGUGUCCCCGUGUCCUUUAGGUCCUUCAUGGUGUCCCUAUGGUGUCCCCAUGUCUCUCAGGUCCCUCCUGGUGUCCCCAUGGUGUCCCCAUGGUGUCCCCAUGUGAUGUCCCCAUGUCCCUCAGGUCCCCCAUGGUGUCCCUGUGGUGUCCCCAUGUCCUUUGUGCUCUCCAUGGUGUCCCCCCCAUGGAGACACCAGAAUGUCACAGGGAUCCACGUGUCCCCCUCAGUGUCCCCAUGUCCCCAGUGCCAUCAAUGCGGCGUCUGUGUGUCCCCCCUCCCACACUGA
rnacentral:lncRNA from 1 species